GAUUAACGCUGGCGGCGUGCCUAACACAUGCAAGUCGAACGAGGUAGCAAUACCUAGUGGCAGACGGGUGAGUAACGCGUGGUCAACCUACCGUUGAGUGGGGGAUAACUAGCCGAAAGGUUAGCUAAUACCGCAUACGUCUCCGAGGGGCAUCCCUUGGCGAUAAAAGGAGCAAUCCGCUCGAUGACGGGACCGCGUCCCAUUAGCUAGAUGGUGGGGUAACGGCCUACCAUGGCACCGAUGGGUAGCUGGUUUGAGAGAGCGACCAGCCACACUGGGACUGAGAAACGGCCCAGACUCCUACGGGAGGCAGCAGUGAGGAAUUUUCCGCAAUGGGCGCAAGCCUGACGGAGCGACGCCGCGUGUGGGAAGAAGGCC
rnacentral:rRNA from 1 species